rnacentral:rRNA from 1 species
UACGGAGGGUGCAAGCGUUAUCCGGAUUCACUGGGUUUAAAGGGUGCGUAGGAGGGCAGGUAAGUCAGUGGUGAAAUCUCCAAGCUUAACUUGGAAACUGCCGUUGAUACUAUCUGUCUUGAAUACCGUGGAGGUGAGCGGAAUAUGUCAUGUAGCGGUGAAAUGCUUAGAUAUGACAUAGAACACCAAUUGCGAAGGCAGCUCGCUACACGAAUAUUGACUCUGAGGCACGAAAGCGUGGGGAUCGAACAGG